AUGGCAUUCAACCAGGAGGCUUAGCUCUGCUUGCGUAUAGCAGUGAGGUCUUUGCUGUGCUUGGGAUGGGAGUCCCAGAGCCCAGAUCUGCUGAGACCUAUUUGGGGUGAGGGCAUGGGGACCCCAUAAACCUCCUGUACGGAGCCAUGGUUCUACCCUGGAAAUUAGACUCAAAAAGCCCUUGAAGGCUGAGGAUGGGCACCCCAUGAAUUCAGCAGCUCCUUCAAAUCAGAAGAGAAUAGACAAUGUAGCAAUGUGAGCUUUUGAUUUAAAAGAACUUGCUUUUGGUGGGGUUUUUUUUUGGUUUGUUUGUUUGUUUUUUGUUUUGGUGUGGGGGGUGGUGGUGAUGGUUUUCUUUUUGCGUCUGAUUUUAUGAAGUACACCAGAGACCUUCUCUAAUAAUACUGAUCUUCAGGAAAUGUGAGGAUGCGUGCGCUGCUUCCAGCCACCCAGGGUGCUGCAGGUGCGGGGAGCGCUGAGGGUGCUUCAGAGAGGAAGAAGGAGGGAGAGAAAAGCUUCUGGGGUGAAGUGAUUGUCCUUCAGCUCAUCAAAACUCCUUGCUCAGGGCUAGAACAAAUCAGCCAAGACCUAUCUCUUUCACCAUCAUCAAAUGAGGGAGAUUUUGACUGGUUUUCCAUUGCACAGGAGGUUGUGGUCUCUGUUAUUCUGUUGUCCUAUGCCAAUCAAGGAAGCUGCGGUGAUGUCAAGACCCCAAAGCCACACGAGUGAGAUGCAAACCCACGGCGAAACCAAGGAAGACGUAGUGAAUUCUGCAUGAGUGGUUUGAAGAGAGGGGAACCCCACCAUCUACAUGCAGAGAAGUGGGACGUGGGCAACACCUAUUGUACAGCUGCUCUCCAUCACUUGGCGUGAACAAUGGAACCAGGGCUGCCACUGGGACAACCUGGACAGUGCAAGAGAUGCCCAUUUUAAGAACAAAUGCGUUCUCCAUUCUGCAGGGCGGUGCUUGAGGUCCUCACUAAGGGGAGACCAGGUCCUGCGGCAGCUGUUGGCAAAGCUCCUGUGGACUUUGGUCUGGUCCAAAUUCCACCUCUUGAGUUUGACUACGGUCCAGCAGCGCCUAAGCCUGAUGCUGGCCUCCUGCCCUCCACUGAGUUUCCUCCUACAGCAACAGAACGGGGCCCGAGUUGUAUCUCGCCA
rnacentral:lncRNA from 1 species